rnacentral:rRNA from 1 species
AGAGCGAACGCUGGCGGCAGGCUUAACACAUGCAAGUCGAGCGGGCGUAGCAAUACGUCAGCGGCAGACGGGUGAGUAACGCGUGGGAACAUACCUUUUGGUUCGGAACAACACAGGGAAACUUGUGCUAAUACCGGAUAAGCCCUUACGGGGAAAGAUUUAUCGCCGAAAGAUUGGCCCGCGUCUGAUUAGCUAGUUGGUGAGGUAACGGCUCACCAAGGCGACGAUCAGUAGCUGGUCUGAGAGGAUGAUCAGCCACAUUGGGACUGAGACACGGCCCAAACUCCUACGGGAGGCAGCAGUGGGGAAUAUUGGACAAUGGGCGCAAGCCUGAUCCAGCCAUGCCGCGUGAGUGAUGAAGGCCCUAGGGUUGUAAAGCUCGUUUUGUGCGGGAAGAUAAUGACGGUACCGCAAGAAUAAGCCCCGGCUAACUUCGCGCCAGCAGCCGC